ensembl:lncRNA
CCAGUAUGUUACAAUGUGAUGCUGAGGAUCCUGACAAAGAGGUGACAAGUAGGAACUUCAGUCAUUACAUUUCCUCCUGUGAUGAGUUCAGAUGAGCAGAAAACAGCCUUAAGCCUUCAAUCUGCAGCUUUCAUGAACCUGCAGGAAUCCGGAUCGAGGACACUGACGGCUGUCACGACGCUUCACAGCCUCAUAAAUCUGGGAGACGCUGCAGCAGCAGAUCUGAUGACCCCAUACAUCACUGAAAGGUCACCGGCGUGACGACGAGGAAGCGAUUCGUCUUCUGAAAAUCCAGCGUGAGCGAUGAGACUGGAAGAGGAGGAUUAGUAUGUAGCAGGGAGGAGCUGAGACCUUUAGAGGAGAUAUGAAGAAGCACUGGAGCUGCUGAG